rnacentral:rRNA from 1 species
GGCUCAGAUUGAACGCUGGCGGCAGGCCUAACACAUGCAAGUCGAGCGGUAGCACAAGAGAGCUUGCUCUCUGGGUGACGAGCGGCGGACGGGUGAGUAAUGUCUGGGAAACUGCCUGAUGGCGGGGGAUAACUAGUGGAAACGGUAGCUAAUACCGCAUAACGUCGCAAGACCAAAGUGGGGGACCUUCGGGCCUCACGCCAUCAGAUGUGCCCAGGUGGGAUUAGCUGGUAGGUGGGGUAACGGCUCACCUAGGCGACGAUCCCUAGCUGGUCUGAGAGGAUGACCAGCCACACUGGAACUGAGACACGGUCCAGACUCCUACGGGAGGCAGCAGUGGGGAAUAUUGCACAAUGGGCGCAAGCCUGAUGCAGCCAUGCCGCGUGUGUGAAGAAGGCCUUCGGGUUGUAAAGCACUUUCAGCGAGGAGGAAGGGUAAUGUGUUAAU